UAGUCCCAUGUUCCUAAGAGAGGUCAGACGUGAGCAGCCUGAAGAAACCUCAAGCAGAGCCCAAGGAAUAAAUCACGAAAUCCCUAAGGAUCUAAAAGGAUCUGCAUGAUGCCUCAGACCUGCCUAGAUGUUGUAGGGUCAGCGAGACCAUGAACCCACCAGGAGGAACAAGCAACUCUGGAGGCGCCACCUUUAAGAGCUGUAACACUCACUGGGAAGGUCUGCGGAUUCACUACUGAUGUCAAGUGGGACCAUGAACCCACCAGAAGGAAGAAACUCUGGACACAUCUGAACAUCUGAAGGAACAAACUCUGGACACACCAUCUUUAAGAACUACAACACUCACCCCAAGGGUCCACAGCUUCAUUCUUGAAGUCAGCAAGACUAAGAACCCACCAGAAGGAACAAAUUCUGGUCACACCAUGGGGAUUGGAAUAUAGUCUGUUGAAAUUGUGGGACCCAUCCACUCCUCACUAGAUUGUAUCCUCAACCCUAUCUGACCUUAUUGCUGCUCACACUCUGUGUCCCAGGAUGAAAUCUCAAGAUGAUGGAGGAGUGCCCCCUUUGACCUGAAGCACCUGCUCAGCUAGGAACCAAAUUCAAGGGGGAGGUGACUUGGACGCUGGCAAGUCUCGACCCGCCCCCCAAUAUACUGGGGAUUCAUGAUCCACAGAAAAAUAGAGAACACAGCCCUGCGACUAAAGCAAAGCCACACAGACAAGCCAUCAAAAUGUUGAGAGACUCAAAUAAAGAAGCACUGAAAUGUGUUAGCCACAUUCUUUUAAGCAGACUCCAUUUGCAGGAACACACACACACAAAGACACAAUACCACACAAACACAUGCAGAAAUCUGACACUCAUAACACUCCCACAGAAACACACAGCCCGGCAGCUUCUGAGGCUGUGUGUUUCUGUAGGAAGCCCCACCUUGGAGAGAGCAACCCCAGGGAACAGAGGCAGGCUCUAACUAAAAAUAUCAUGGGGGCAAGUUUCAUAAAGACUCACUCCUAGAACUCCUGGGCAGGCCUAAGGAAUCCUGCAGAUGAUUUUGGAUCCACAGGGAUUUUGUAGUUUAUUCCUGGGGCUCUGCUUGACAUUUCUUCAGGCUCACUCACAUCUUUCUCUCCUAGGAUCAUGGGAUUAUUCCAUGUAUCCCACAGAGAAGACAGGUGAGAGUCCACCAGCGCACCUCCACAGAGGUCUCUUUCUCCACAAGCUGCAGGGACUUGUCUCUUGCCAACAGUGACAUUCCUUGUGACACUUGCCAGAACUCAAAAUCAGGCAUGGUGCCCUGAGUCUAGCUCAUGCACAUUCGUGAGGCAGGCUCUGGCAUCCGGCUGUCAGAGCUGUCAGCCUGACUAAGCAGAGGAAAAUGCUGCAAGCAGAGCCGGCCUUGUAUCAGGAAAAAGGAUGCCUAUGAAAACCCACUGCGAGACCCUAAAAGUCUCAAACUCAGGGCCUCUUUGGGCCAUCUCCAUGGUCAGGUCCCACUGGAGGAGGAGGUGUUUCAAGACUGUGAGGUGGUCGCUGGAAACUGCUCUUCUGACUCUAUUCCUGAAAGAGGCUGUGUGCAAGAAUCAGGUCCCAUGGAGAUUGGAAUAGAGUCUCUUGUGUUGUUGGGGUUCUUUGGGUGAUAGAAUUAUACUUGAAACCCCAGAGGUGGGCAUCACUAAAAGAUGCCCGAGCUUGACCUCAUGGCAUCCCUUCAUCCUGGGUCUCACAGGGGCUGUCUGGAAAAGUCAGGAACCAUCACAGAGGAAAGUCCAAGGUGAAGCAGUUGUCUCACACCACAGACUGGUCUCUCCUUGGUGCAGAUGAGGUUGACACAGUGACUCAGAGGCUGUCUGUGGUGAUAGUAAGCCUGAAAAUUGUGUUCAGCAGUGCUGUAGUGCUGUUAAGGGUCAUUGUAGAUUUUUCAUGAAAGCAAGGAAAAAACAAGGCUUGCCUGAGGAAAUGAGCUGCCUUGUGCUGGAGUCCAAACUUGGACUGAACUCUUAUGGGUAAAGAUAAGGUAGAGACCAUGUCUCAGAGGUCAUCUUUGAUGAUGCCAAGCCUGAAAAUGAUAUCCAGUAGAGCUGUUGAAGGACACUGUAGAUUGUCCAUAAAAGCAAAGAAAAAUCAAGGUUCACCUGAUAGAAUGAGCUGCAUUGACCUGGAGUUUAAGCAAUGUUCAAUGCUUCCUGUUAGAGGUCCCAAAAGCCUCCUGCAAAUUGCAAACAACCUCAGCCCCCAUAACGAGACAACGACUCAAAACUUGGAGCACCGCCAGACUCCUCAAAGUCCCUUUUGCUCUUUGAAAUCUCUGGAAGCAAAAUAAUCUUUGGCAAGAGGCAGUCCCAUCCAGCCACAGCCCAAUGAAAGAACCCCCACUCAACGAGAAGACCAUGUAGAUGAAAAAAAUCAGAGACUAGAUUGCCAGGCAAAAGCCAGACAGGGCUGCCUGCUUCUCAUCCUACAGGAAUCAUGCGGAAUGCCAAGAGAAGUGAAAAAAAAAAGAGUUUCCUUGUUGGCAGCUGUAAGGGAAUUUACAGUUUUAAAGGUAUCAAAGCUGCCCAGUCAUUAAAUUGUGACAGUGUUUAGAAGGAAACACUCAGGCAAUGGAUUCCCAUUAGGGUCAUUCUCUGUGAACUGAGAAACGUUUACUGUGUCAUUGAGCCAGACACAGGAAAACCUGCACCAACAAGAAACAUGGACAUCAGAGAAAGAAGAGUCAAGUGUGGAGGCCAUAUCCCACCAAGCAUCAAUCCAUUUCAUUCCCAUUUGGCUCCCGGUGAAGUUGUGGGAUCUCAUCCAAUUCCCACCAGAUUGUAUCCUCACCCCUGUCUGACCUUAUUGCUGCUCACACUCUAUGUCCCAAAAUGAAAACCCAAGUUGAUGGAGUAUUGCCCCCUCAUGAUGUGAAGAAACUGCUUGGCUGGGACCUGAAUUUGAGGAUCAUGGGACUGUACCAUGGAUACAACAGAGAAGACAGGCCAGAAUCCACUGCUGACACACCUCCAGGGAAACCUCUUUAUCUGCCAAGCUGCAGGGAUUUGUCACUGGCAAAGGUGACAUUCAUUGUGAAGCUAGCCAGAGCUCGCAAUCAGGCCUGAUGCCCUGAGACUAGGGCACGCACAUUAAUGAGGCAGGCUCUGGCCCUGGCUCUCAGACCUGUCAGCCUGCCUAAGCAGAGGAAAAUGGCAGAGGCAGAGUCGGUCUGGUAUCGGGAAAAAAGCUGCCUGUGAAACCCACUGAAGGACCCUAAAAGUCUCAACUUUGGGGGUUAUUCAAGCCAUCUCCAUGGUUGUGUCCCACUGGAGGAGGAGGUGUUUUGAGACCAUGAGGUGGUCGCAGAAACUGCUCUUCUCUUCUGAGUCCGUUCCCAAAGGAGGCUGUGUGAAAGAAUUAGGUCCCAUAGGGAUUGAUAUAUAGUCUGGUGUGUUCUGGAGGGGUUUUUUGGGUGAUAGCAGCAGACCUGAGAUCCCAGAGGUGGGUGUCAGCAAAAGAUGGCCAGGCUCUUGACCUCUCUGCCUCCCUUCAUCGGGGGCCUCACAUAGGCUCUCUGGGAAAGGCAGGAAGCAAGACAAGGCAAGUAUAAGAUCAACACUGUUCUCACACCUCGAACUUGCCCCUCAUGGGUGCAUAUGAGGAUGUGACACCAUCUCAGAGGCUGUCUGUGGUGACGGCAAGCCUAAAAAUGGUGUCCAGUAGUGCUGUUGAGGAGCACUGUGAAUUCUCCAUGAAAGCAAAGAAAAAUCAAAGCUCACCUGAAACAACAAGAUGCCUUUUGCCAGAGUCCAAGCAAUGUUCAAUGAUUCCUGUCAGAGGACCCCAAAGACUCCUGCAAAGUGCAAACAACUUCAGCUCCCACAACAUACAACAAUCCACAAUCUGGAGUGCAGCCAGAUGAUGCAAAGUCCCUUCUGCUCUCUGAUAUCUCUGGCAGCUAAAUAAUUGGUGGGAAGAGGCAUUCCUAUCCAGCAACAGAACAAUGCAAGAGCCCCUCCACUAUGAGAAGGCCAUACAGAUGACAGGAAACAGAGGCUAGUUUACCAGGCAAAGCCAGACACAGCUGCCAGCUUGUCAUCCUACAGGAAUCAUGCAGCACUCCAAUAGAACUGGGAGAAUAAGAGUUUCCUUGUUGUUGGCUGUAACAGGAGUUUAUGGUUUUUAAAGUAUCAAAGCUACCGAGUCAUUAAAACAUGAGAGUUUUUAGAAGAAAACACUCAUGCUAUGGAUUCCCAUGAGGGUCAUUCUCAUGAACUGAGAAACAUUUAGUGUGGAAGCCGUUGAGCCAGACACAGGAAACCCUAGGCUGGUGAAGUUGCUGGACCCCAUUUUCCAUUCAGCAGAUUGUAUCCUCACCACAGCUGACCUUAUUGCUGCUCAGACUCUAUGUUCCAGGAUAAAAUCACAAGAAGAUGUAGUAGUGCCCCCUCAUGAUGUGAAGCAUGUUCACAGCUGGGAACCAAAUUCGAGGUUAAUCUAAGUGGCCUUGCAGACAGAUCUGCUAGUGUCUCUCCCUGCGUUGUCCUCAAGAUGAUGGAAACACUGAGAGAUACCUGGUUUUUGGUGUGGUGUGCUACUCUUCUGGAAGAGUGGUUUUUAGUGCAGGGGGAGGUGAUUUGGACGCUGGCGGGUCUUGGCCCACCUCCAAAUUCACUGCGGAUUCAUGAUCCACAGAAAAAUAACACGGAGCCAUGCAGCCCAAGCAUAGCCACACAGACAGGCCACCAAAAUGUAGUGAGGCUAAAAACAAGAAGCACUGAAGUGUGUUAGCCCCAUUCCUUUAAGCAGACUCCACUUACAGGCACACACACACACACACAAUGCCACACACACUCGAUGUCAAACACUCACAACAUGCCCACAGAAACACACAGCAUGGCAGAUCCUGAGGUUGCAUAGUUCUGCAGGAGGCCCCACCUGGGAGACAGCAACCCCAGGGAACACAGGCAGGCUGUACCUAGAAAUCACAUUGGGGCAAGUUUCAAAGCCCAUACAACUUAUAGGCUGGCCUGAGGAAUUCUGCAGAUCCUUUGGGAUCCUUAGGGAUUUUGCAGUUUAUUUCUGGGGCUGUGGUUGAUGUUUCUUCAGGCUGACUCCCACAAGCUCUCUGACCUUGGUUGAUGUUUCUUCAGGCUGGCUCACAUCUGCCCUCUCAUAGUAUCAUGGGACUAUCCUGUGGAAUCCACAGAAAAGACAGGGGAGAGUCCACUGUCAAUGCACCUCCAAGCAGAUCUCCUUUUCUGCCAAGCCACAGGGACUUUUUGCUAGGCAACAGUGACAUUCAUUGUGAGGCUAGCCAGAAUUCACCAUCAGGCCUGGUGCCCUGAGAAUAGUACAUGCACAUUCUUCAGGCAGGUUCAAGAACCCAGCUGUCAGAGCUGCCAGCCUGCCUAGGCAGAAGAAAAUGCACAGGCAAAGCUGGCCUCACAUCGGGAAAAUGGCUACCUGUGAAAACCCACUGUGACACCCUAAACGUCUUGACCUUAGGGUCCCAUGGGCAGUCUCCACGGUCUCCUCCCGCUGGAGGAGUAGGCAUUUCAAGACUGUUAGGUGGUCGCUGGAAACUGCUCUUCUGACUCCAUUCCUGAAAGAGAAUGUGUGUGUACAAUACCCCAAUCCCAUGGGGAUUGGGAUAUAGUCUGUUGUGUUGUUCAGUGUUCUUUGGGUGAUAGAAGACCCCAGAGGCAGGUGUCAGCAAAAGCUGGCCAGACCCUUAAUCUCACUGCCUCCCUUCAUCCUGGGCCUCACAGGUGCUCUCCCAGAUAAUCAAGAACCAAAAGAAAGGCAAGUCGAUGUUGGAGACAUGUUCUCACACUUUGAACUGGCCUGUCAUGGGUGCAGAUGAGGUUAAGACAGUGUCUCAGAGGCGGUCUGUGGAGAUUGCUACCCUUAGGGUAUCCAGUAGUGUUGAUGUAAGAGCACUGUGGAUUCCUAAUGACAGGAGAAAAAAAUCACUUGAGAGAAUUGUUGGGAAACCAGCCCCACAAUGCCCCGUGGGUACCCUAAAUCCAACAGAGACAAAUAAUUAGAAAGAGACAGAAUGAGAGUUUAAAAGGCAGGUCCAGGGGACCAGAGAAUUGGAGGCUUGCUCAUGGCCUGGAGCUCUCAGCCACCACCCAAUUUAUUGCUUUACAAGCUCUUUGUUCUUAGGGCAGAUCUGAGGGGUAGGAAGGGCUGAGGGAAAGGAUUAAUCAGUGAGGGAGAACCCGUGAGUCAUUCAAUAAGAUGUAUAGCAGUAGCAGUUUCUGUGAAUUUCCUCUAGCAAAGGCGUGUGUCUAAACUACUUAAUAUAUUUAACUUAUCAGGACUGAAAUGGAUGGGAGAAGGCUUCAGGAGAAGCCAAGAUGUUUGAUUAUACUCCACUGCUUCAAGAGAGUGUUAUUUCCCUGAGCAACCUGUGGCAGCCCGCUGAGCUGUUAUGCUCUCUGGGCAUAAGGACAUGAAGGCAAUAAGGAGACUUUUCUCCUCAGAGGCCACCCAUGGGAGUGACUCCCCAUGGGAGUCUCACACCGGAGAGAUCAACUCAUUUGGCAUCCCAGAAACUCUCUUUCCCACAUGUCCCACUUUUUUGUCUCCAUUUUUUUAAAUUAAUAACCACCAUUGCUAUCAUAGCUCAUUCACGGUGUCUAUCUACUCUCCCAAGAUGCUGUCUGCAUCAGUAGGUUAAAAAAAAAACAGCAUAAAAAGACACACACCAAAGUAAUAUUUGCAAUUGAUGAUCCACCUAUGGUUUUAAUUCACUUUAAAGGAUUAGUGUUAAAAAGGCCCUCAGUGGUUCCAGCAAGAAUAUCAGCUCUAGGCAACAGGAUGGGAUGAGCCUGAGAUGCGGCAAAAAGUUGUUUUUUCAGUUUAGCAGGAUCUAAUGUUAAAUUAUCUUCUUCUCCUGGUAGGUGAUGUCUAAUCAUCUCCCAGUGGUGUUCAGUGAUAUUAUAAGAGCUAGGAGGAAUACGAAAUCAGAAGUAUUCCAAUCACAUUGCAUUUGAAUUCUAUGCUCCAAGUUCAUAAUCCGAUCUCCCAUUCAGAUUACUGUCUGAUGAUCAUUAAUUUGAUUUGCCAAUUUUUGAUCUAUUUGGCUUUGGGAAUUCCAAAGCUUGGAAGAAUUUUUCUGACAACUAUGCACAGCGCUCGCAGGUUGAAUAGAAGAGUGCAAAGCAAAGCCAGCAGCAGCAGCUAUAGCUGUGACAGAUUUAAGACCCAUGAUGAGAGCUAUUAAAG
ensembl:lncRNA novel transcript